rnacentral:rRNA from 1 species
CAAUGGGUAACCGGCGAACGGGUGCGUAACACGUGUNGCAACCUACCGAAUUGUGGGGGAUAGCCGGCCCAACGGCCGGGUAAUACCGCAUACGAUCGAGACGAGGCAUUUCGACUCGAUGAAAUCUACGGAGCAAUUCGAGGGGCUCGCGGCCUAUCAGCUAGUUGGUGAGGUAACGGCUCACCAAGGCGACGACGGGUAGCUGGUCUGAGAGGAUGGCCAGCCACAUUGGGACUGAGAUACGGCCCAGACUCCUACGGGAGGCAGCAGUGGGGAAUCUUGCGCAAUGGCCUAACGGCUGACGCAGCGACGCCGCGUGAGGGAUGACGCUCUUCGGAGUGUAAACCUCUUUUGCCCGGGACGAAUUGCCAACUUUAGUUGGCUUGACGGUACCGGGUGAAUAAGCACCGGCUAACUCCGUGCCAGCAGCCGCGGUAAUACGGGGGGUGCGAGCGUUGUCCGGAAUCACUGGGCGUAAAGGGCGCGUAGGUGGUCUGAUAAGGGUGUGGUGAAAGCCCGGGGCUCAACCCCGGGUCGGCCGUGCCGACUGUUAGACUAGAGUGCUGUAGGGGCAGGCGGAAUUCCGGGUGUAGCGGUGGAAUGCGUAGAGAUCCGGAGGAAGACCGGUGGCGAAGGCGGCCUGCUGGGCAGUUACUGACACUGAGGCGCGACAGCGUGGGGAGCAAACAGGAUUAGAUACCCUGGUAGUCCACGCCGUAAACGAUGGGUACUAGGUGCCUGGGGGAGCGACCCCUUGGGUGCCGGCGCUAACGCAGGAAGUACCCCGCCUGGGGAGUACGACCGCAAGGUUGAAACUC